GGGUGAGUAACACGUGGAUAACCUACCUAUAAGACUGGGAUAACUUCGGGAAACCGGAGCUAAUACCGGAUAAUAUUUUGAACCGCAUGGUUCAAAAGUGAAAGACGGUCUUGCUGUCACUUAUAGAUGGAUCUGCGCUGCAUUAGCUAGUUGGUAAGGUAACGGCUUACCAAGGCAACGAUGCAUAGCCGACCUGAGAGGGUGAUCGGCCACACUGGAACUGAGACACGGUCCAG
rnacentral:rRNA from 1 species